rnacentral:sRNA from 1 species
GCUGCNNNCACAGCUCAUGGCAAAAAUACAAACUCUAUGAAAGAUGAAGCCAGCAUCUCCUCUCUAAAACCUUCCAGUCAAGUAGAAAUAUUUUCCAACGAUAAUUAUGUAGAUUAUCUUCAGAGCACAGACUUUAAAUGAGCCAUCAUCAGCAUUAUCAAAGAUGUCAAAGUAUUUACAAAAUAGAAAGAAUUGGCUCAUUGAAAUCAAGGAGAAAGAACGUAAGGAGAGAAAAAUUCAGUGGUGCCCAAGAAACACAAUCAUAAUUGUGGUGGGAAUAAAAAAGAAAUGCCAUACUUGACAGCAGAAUUCAAUAAAGAUGUAGAAUCUUUGCGGAAAACUCAAUGUGAAAUGAGCAUGGAGCUGAAAAUCCCAAUAAUCUGAUGGAAAAAUCUCAAAGGACAUCUUGAGAUAUAGAAUGGGUCAAACAGGAAAAAAGAAAAAAACAGAAUCAGGAGUCAAAUGUACAGUAGAUAAUCUGGAACAAAUAAGGAAUAUGAAAAACAAUUAACACACACAUGCACACACACACACACACACACACACACACACAGAACAUAGAAGAAAUGUGGGACACUAAAGGCCAUGCACAGUCUUAGCAGUCUUAGCUUAUCAUUACAUAUAUGUAAACAAUUCUAUCAAAUAGACACCAAUUACUAGAAUACCUUUAAAUAAAAUGAUUUACAAAACAAACACUGCAAAGUUUUGUCUUAAAAAUAGAACAUUUGAAGAAGAAAUAAAGUUUGCCUUAUUUAUAAAUAGAAUUUAUGUAGACUUGUAAAAAGGUACCAUUUUCUUCCCAUGGUUUUAAAAACAUAUACCUUUUCUAGGUUAUGCUAUGUUUGAGGGCGAUGGGAAUUUUUACUUCUUCAAUGUAGCUAUUAUCUGUUGUACCUUCCAGGAUCCCCUGCAGUGUUUGACCCCAGCUGAGGCCCUGCUAAUGCAUGUAGAAGCCUUUGGCUCCUAACAAAGGCAUGCCCUGGCCCUGUAUGAACACACCUGCCUGCAGGCCUAUGCCCAGCUCUCAGUACUGUGUAGGUGAGGGAAAUGGAGGUUCCACCGAGAUCGGGAAGGUGAAGAAUUUUCUGAAGGGGUCAUCCCAGGAAGCCGGCCGGCCAAGAAGGAGGGAUGUAUUGUGAAUGCCAUCUUUGUGAGGCUGCUGGGGACCAGGGAACUGUUCCCAGGUUAUACGGUUCUCAGGCAUGGUUCCAUUGCCUGCCAGCCAUUCUGGAGAAGCUCAGCUGAUUCUGAACUGUCAUGGAAAAGACUUUGACAUCUUUGCUGCUAUUGAAGCAUCCAUUGCUGUUGCAGCCACAGUGUCUUCAGUGUCUGGGAUUGCCCUCCUCCGAUCUGAUGUUUAGUUUUUCGUGUGGCACUUGGCACCGUGUCUGUGUGUGCCCUGAAUUUUAUAUACAACUCACCCCCCACAUGUGUAGAGUCUGUUUUCAUCGGUUCUAAGAUUGUAAGUAUUACCAGUGUUCUAGGUUUCUUAAAUAUUGAGAAAAGACUUUCCUCUUGUCAGUGUCCUCUGCAUAGCAGCACAGCUAUACUCAUUCAGUGUCAGGUUUUCAAGAUGCUGUCACCCAAGAAUUCCUUCCCUCGGUACUAGCAUCAUUAUUCCACAGAGUAGCAGGCAAGAUUUCAAGGGAGGAAAACAAUCAACACACUUACUCAACUAUGAUACCUAUGAACCACAUUAAUGAUUACCCAGGCAUUGUAAUUCUGCAGGUGCAAUAGUGCUACAUGUACUUGGUAACUAAGAGCUUAGUUGGACUUCAUGUCCAUUCAACACGAGGGAAAUAAUGUCUGAGACUGUAUCUGUGUCAAUGCCCAAUGCUACAGCAGUCAGGAUUUUUGGAGGAGAACAAAUAACCAUCGCUUUAGUAAUCCACAGUAAUCCCAAAAACAUGCUUAGUAUAACUUGUCUACACACAGGUCAGUGAAGUUCUCCCCCAUCAUCAAACAAUUUCUUUUUUGUUUUAAAUUAUGAAGAACAUUACAGGAAACCAAAAUAGAUCACAAUGCAGAAAACAAAGAGCCUUUGUCUUGCCCAGUCAUGUCUGAAACGUAAAUAGUACAUCUCCUAUAAGUAAGAGUCAGGGCUCAUUGCAGACGAUGGAGAUGAGAGACUGUAAGUGCCAGAGGAACGGGAUGCUUUCUGUGAAAUUGGGUUUCUUAGAAACAGCAGAGACUCUAUACUCAUGAAGUCUCUUCAACGUGGCCAUCUAAGCAGGACUUGGGAAAGGAUGACAUCAGUAGUCAUCUUAACAUGGAAGGGGAAAGCCCUUGAAGCCUCCAUUGUAGACAAAGAUAUACAGACAUCGAAGGGGUGGUGACAGUAACCAAAUUGUUUGGCUCAGGGAAGAGCCUUGCAAUUGGAUAACCAAUCCACAAUCAUCAUCCCUUAGACCAUGAACAUACAUAUUACAGUGCAGAGACUGAGGAGGUUAUAUUUAUAUAUUUUGAAAUACAUGUAGAAAAGCUAAUAAGAUAUGAGGCUGUGAAUUUUAGAGAGAUCAAAGAAGGGCAUUUGGGAAGCUCUGGCAUGAGUCAAGGAAAGGGUGAAAAAGAGGUGAUUAUAAUUGUAAAACUAACAUUAAUCACUGUAUAUGGUCUAGCAAGAAUGUUUUUCAGGAUAUCUAUAUGCUUUAGUCACUUAGUAUGGCACUUUGGGAGACUAGAGUAUCUAUUGCAUUAGGUUUUGUUGGCAGGUCCUUGAGUUCCAUGCCCACGGACCCCAAAACAACAAAUGGUUCAUAUAGUUAAAAUUUAUAUACAUUUUAACUGCUAUAUAAAUAUAAAUACAUGAGAAUUGAAUCCAUUCCACAGUGGUGUCUGCCUGUGCCUGGAGCUGAACUGCUCCCAUAGCUCU